AUGAAGGGAACAUUGGUGUGUGUGCUGAUGGCUGCCUGGACCCUUGGAUGUGGCAGCCAGACGGUGCACCAGCCAGCAGAGAAUGUGUACGCCAUGAAAGGCGACUCAGUUACGCUGGACUGCAGCUAUGAAAACUCUCUAGGCAACAACUACAUCUACUGGUACAAACAGGACGGGCAGGCGGCACCAAAGUUCAUUCUGAGCCUCUCCAUAAUGAGUCUGGGCAAGACUGAGAGCAGCUUUGAAAAGAGGUUGAGCUGCAGCAUCAAUGACACCGCCAAGCGAGCUCCUCUGAAGAUCCAAGACGUGCAGCUGAACGACUCUGCAGUCUUCUACUGCGCCAUCCAGCCCACAAUGACUGACAUCUCUGCUGCAGCCGCACAAAAACCUCUGUGGGCUCCUCAUCCCACUGUGGCUGUUUCAGAGCUAGUUCUGUGGAGGUUUUCACAGCUUUUGUCCUAGUCAGGACAUCACAGGGGUGGCGAACUGGAGAUGUUUUUUAUUUACAUACCUUAAUUAUUUCCAAACUGUGUUUGUAACACGGCAGUGAAGGGCUGAUCAAACACAACAGAAGUCAUCAUGAUAGACCCACUAGCUGUGGAAAAUAUCUCCAUCCGCUAAACAUACUCAAUUAGUCUGUACAUUGAAGUAAAUCACCUAUGCAGGUCUGUCUCUGCUAUGCCUAUCAGGCCGGGUACAUCUUUCUUAAACCUAUUAUCUACAUCUUUCUGUGGCCAAAUGUUUGGUUUUACAAACCCCUUUUCCAUACGAGUUGGGAAAUUAUGUUAGAUGUAAAUAUAAACGGAAUACAAUGAUUUGCAAAU